rnacentral:rRNA from 1 species
GCUCCGUAAGUCGGGUGUGAAAACCCCAGGCUCAACCUGGGGACGCCACUCGAUACUGCGGUAGCUAGAGUCUGGUAGGGGAUCUCGGAAUUCCUGGUGUAGCGGUGAAAUGCGCAGAUAUCAGGAGGAACACCAGUGGCGAAGGCGGAGAUCUGGGCCAGUACUGACACUGAGGASCGAAAGCGUGGGGAGCGAACAGGAUUAGAUACCCUGGUAGUCCACGCCGUAAACGUUGGGCACUAGGUGUGGGGACCUAUCGACGGUCUCCGUGCCGCAGCUAACGCAUUAAGUGCCCCGCCUGGGGAGUACGGCCGCAAGGCUAAAACUCAAAGG